ACUAUAGCUUGACACUGAACAUUGAGCCUUGAUGUGUAGGAUAGGUGGGAGGCUUUGAAGUGUGGACGCCAGUCUGCAUGGAGCCGACCUUGAAAUACCACCCUUUAAUGUUUGAUGUUCUAACGUGGACCCGUAAUCCGGGUUGCGGACAGUGUCUGGUGGGUAGUUUGACUGGGGCGGUCUCCUCCUAAAGAGUAACGGAGGAGCACGAAGGUUGGCUAAUCCUGGUCGGACAUCAGGAGGUUAGUGCAAUGGCAUAAGCCAGCUUGACUGCGAGCGUGACGGCGCGAGCAGGUGCGAAAGCAGGUCAUAGUGAUCCGGUGGUUCUGAAUGGAAGGGCCAUCGCUCAACGGAUAAAAGGUACUCCGGGGAUAACAGGCUGAUACCGCCCAAGAGUUCAUAUCGACGGCGGUGUUUGGCACCUCGAUGUCGGCUCAUCACAUCCUGGGGCUGAAGUAGGUCCCAAGGGUAUGGCUGUUCGCCAUUUAAAGUGGUACGCGAGCUGGGUUUAGAACGUCGUGAGACAGUUCGGUCCCUAUCUGCCGUGGGCGCUGGAGAACUGAGGGGGGCUGCUCCUAGUACGAGAGGACCGGAGUGGACGCAUCACUGGUGUUCGGGUUGUCAUGCCAAUGGCACUGCCCGGUAGCUAAAUGCGGAAGAGAUAAGUGCUGAAAGCAUCUAAGCACGAAACUUGCCCCGAGAUGAGUUCUCCCUGAGACUUAGAGUC
rnacentral:rRNA from 1 species